CUGCCCGUAGCUCGGCGGCCAGAGCGCCAGCUGACCCUGGCGCUGCAGGUUCGUCGCCUGCUGGUCGAAC
rnacentral:tRNA from 1 species